rnacentral:rRNA from 1 species
AGAGUUUGAUCAUGGCUCAGAUUGAACGCUGGCGGCAUGCUUUACACAUGCAAGUCGAACGGUAACGCGGGGGCAACCCUGGCGACGAGUGGCGAACGGGUGAGUAAUACAUCGGAACGUGUCCUGAGGUGGGGGGAUAACCUAUCGAAAGGUAGGCUAAUACCGCAUACGCUCGGGAGAGGAAAGCGGGGGAUCGGUAACGACCUCGCGCUGCAGGAGCGGCCGAUGUCCGAUUAGCUAGUUGGUGGGGUAAAGGCUUACCAAGGCGACGAUCGGUAGCUGGUCUGAGAGGAUGAUCAGCCACACUGGGACUGAGACACGGCCCAGACUCCUACGGGAGGCAGCAGUGGGGAAUUUUGGACAAUGGGGGCAACCCUGAUCCAGCCAUGCCGCGUGAGUGAAGAAGGCCUUCGGGUUGUAAAGCUCUUUCGGUGGGACCGAAACGGUUACCACUAACACUGGUGACUACUGACGGUACUCACAGAAGAAGCACCGGCUAACUACGUGCCAGCAGCCGCGGUAAUACGUAGGGUGCGAGCGUUAAUCGGAAUUACUGGGCGUAAAGCGUGCGCAGGCGGUGGCUCAAGCCAGGCGUGAAAUCCCCGGGCUUAACCUGGGAAUGGCGUUUGGGACUGGGUCGCUAGAGUGUGGCAGAGGGAGGUGGAAUUCCCGUGUAGCAGUGAAAUGCGUAGAGAUGUGGAGGAACACCGAUGGCGAAGGCAGCCUCCUGGGCCAGCACUGACGCUCAUGCACGAAAGCGUGGGGAGCAAACAGGAUUAGAUACCCUAGUAGUCC